AGAAAAAGAAACCCAUUUCUUCUUCCUCGCGUGUGCACCCCCCUCACUUUCUUCGUUUUCUCCUUCUCCUUGCCCUAGCUUCCUCUUCCUUUCUUCUUCUCCGUUCAUCCUUCUCCGUCGUCGCCUUGCACCAGCCGAGCGAAUCCCGUCCGACGAAACCCAGCUAGGCCACACCGCCUCUCCAUCCACAACGCCGCUGUCUGUUCGCAAGCUGUCGGUCUCCGUUCGUGAACCCUAGCCGCCGCGUCAGUUCACCGGUCUUCCUUCAUGACGCCGCCAAUCGUUUGCGAAGUAGUGCGUCGUGAAGUCACGUCGGUCGCGCGACUCUAUGUUUGCCAGUCGAGCCGUGAAUCGUCCGUACGCCGUCUCUCCACCGUAUGCCGUCUCUUCAUUGUACGCCAUCUCUCCGCCACACACUGUCUCUCCGUCGCACGCUGUCUCCCCAUCGUGAAUCGUCUGUUCACAAGCUGCAGGUUGUUCGUUGAAGCCAGAUUGACAUUUUGAUUACGCCUGUCCCCAUUCACAAUCCGACAACUGCACGUCGUAGUGUGCCGUGCCACAUCCUCGUCCGUCGACUGUGAAAUAGCUGUUGUCGGUUCCCCAACCCGGUUUAUACGUGCAGAUUUCAUUCCUUCAAUCGUUUUAGUGUCUGUCAUACUCCAGGUAGUUGUGGUAAGAAUGAAAAUUGUAGGAUUUGUGGUUUUGCAUUGUAAAAUUUCGAUGAAUUUUGAUGGUUAAUUGGUUCAAAUGAUAGAUUAUGGAAGGUGUUGAAAGGGACAUUGGGUUCUUUUAAUUCACAACCAAAUUUGUAGAUUGUAGGAGUUCGGUUCGCCAAUACCUCGGUAAGUUAGAACUGACAUUGAGGAAAUUAAGUGGAGUAUGUAUCGUGAAAGUAAUUGAGUGAAAGCAAUUGAGUUUCAUAUGAGUAUGUAUCGUGAAAGUAAUUGAGUUUCAUAUCUUUGUGAUUAGGUGUCUUUCGUUGGAUAUAGUUUGUACUAGAAUUUGAGGCAAAAGUAACAAAUGAGGUAGACCGACGAGGGACAAGAAGGAGACGUGAUUGCCAUAACGGAAUGUCCUUCAAAUGCUUUCGCAUUAUGUUUUCUUGUUUUCCUUAAUACAUGAGGUUGUUUAAAAAUUUUGUGAUGGAACUGAGUUUACGAACUGUUGUUUUGUAAAUAGUACUUUUAAAAUUUUGGUAAUUUGAAAUAGGGCCCGAACUUAAGUUUAUUUUUUUUU